UAUCCUUCUCGGCCUUUUGGCUCAGAUCAGUGUAGUAUCUGUUCUUAUCAGUUUAAUAUCUACUCCCCAUGGGGGGCUACAUAUUAAAUGGAUUUUUCGAACAGGGGAGUCGGAAAUGGGGCUUGCUCCGUCCGCUCCACCGUCGACCGGUAUUGCAUACCUCCGGGAAUGGUGCAACACUU
rnacentral:snRNA from 1 species